rnacentral:rRNA from 1 species
CAGCCGCCGCGGUAAAACGUAGGGUGCAAGCGUUAAUCGGAAUUACUGGGCGUAAAGCGUGCGCAGGCGGUUAUAUAAGACAGAUGUGAAAUCCCCGGGCUCAACCUGGGAACUGCAUUUGUGACUGUAUAGCUAGAGUACGGCAGAGGGGGAUGAAAUUCCGCGUGUAGCAGUGAAAUGCGUAGAUAUGCGGAGGAACACCGAUGGCGAAGGCAAUCCCCUGGGCCUGUACUGACGCUCAUGCACGAAAGCGUGGGGAGCAAACAGGAUUAGAUACCCGUGUAGUUCCUGUCUCUUAUAA